UGAAGUAGUACAGGUGGCCGCUCUUCUUUACGAAGGGAGGAAAGUCCGGGCUCCACAGGGUAUGACGCUGGAUAACGUCCAGCGGGGGCGACCCCAGGGAAAAGUGCCACAGAGAGAAGUCCGCCUGCCUCGGCAGGUAAGGGUGAAAGGGUGAGGUAAGAGCUCACCGGGUCCGUCGGUGACGGCGGAUGCCAGGUAAACCCCGUCAGGAGCAAGGCCAAAUAGGGAGGCGUUAAGGGCGACCCGCCCGUGCCUCCGGGUUGGCUGCUCGAGGCUGCCGGUAACGGCAGUCCCAGAUGAAUGGCCAUCACCCGGUAAGGGGUAACUCUUUCCGGGAACAGAACCCGGCUUACGGACUACUUCAGCCA
rnacentral:RNase_P_RNA from 1 species